rnacentral:rRNA from 1 species
AGUGAACGCUGGCGGUAGGCCUAACACAUGCAAGUCGAACGGCAGCACAGUAAGAGCUUGCUCUUACGGGUGGCGAGUGGCGGACGGGUGAGGAAUACAUCGGAAUCUACUUUUUCGUGGGGGAUAACGUAGGGAAACUUACGCUAAUACCGCAUACGACCUACGGGUGAAAGCAGGGGAUCUUCGGACCUUGCACGAUUGAAUGAGCCGAUGUCGGAUUAGCUAGUUGGCGGGGUAAAGGCCCACCAAGGCGACGAUCCGUAGCUGGUCUGAGAGGAUGAUCAGCCACACUGGAACUGAGACACGGUCCAGACUCCUACGGGAGGCAGCAGUGGGGAAUAUUGGACAAUGGACGCAAGCCUGAUCCAGCCAUACCGCGUGGGUGAAGAAGGCCUUCGGGUUGUAAAGCCCUUUUGUUGGGAAAGAAAAGCAGCAGGUUAAUACCCCGCUGUUCUGACGGUACCCAAAGAAUAAGCACCGGCUAACUUCGUG